rnacentral:lncRNA from 1 species
GUCUGCCACAGCCUACAGAUAUCCCCCUUCUCUUUCCAUGGGCAGACACUGCUGAUGCAUUGCUGAACUCUAUACUGCAGAUCCUAAAUGGAGUCUAAAAUUCUUCUCUAGGAACCCACUAACAAGUGAAGUUCAUGUGUGAAAUGAAAACUAUUUGCUAUUCCAUAUACUGAAUUGCACAAACUGAGAGCAGUGAGUCAAUUGGAGCAAACUGAAGAGCAUCCAUGAGAAAUGAAAGCGCAUUUCCUUUCCCUGCAGAUGGGACACUGGAAAAGGAAUCAAAAGCAGUGGGUUCAAGUACCUCUUAAUAGUGAGGUGAUUCGGGAGGCAGAGGAUCAAUCGCCAGAGAUACUGCCCAUUUGGGAUGAAGCAAAUGGGGCAAUGAGUGG